CCUACGGGGGGCUGCAGUGGGGAAUAUUGGACAAUGGGGGCAACCCUGAUCCAGCCAUGCCGCGUGUGUGAAGAAGGCCCUCGGGUUGUAAAGCACUUUCAGUGAGGAAGAACGCCUGGUGGUUAAUACCCAUCAGGAAAGACAUCACUCACAGAAGAAGCACCGGCUAACUCCGUGCCAUCAGCCGCGGUAAUACGGAGGGUGCGAGCGUUAAUCGGAAUUACUGGGCGUAAAGCGCGCGUAGGUGGCUUGAUAAGCCGGUUGUGAAAGCCCCGGGCUCAACCUGGGAACGGCAUCCGGAACUGUCAAGCUAGAGUGCAGGAGAGGAAGGUAGAAUUCCCGGUGUAGCGGUGAAAUGCGUAGAGAUCGGGAGGAAUACCAGUGGCGAAGGCGGCCUUCUGGACUGACACUGACACUGAGGUGCGAAAGCGUGGGUAGCAAACAGGAUUAGAUACCCUUGUAGUC
rnacentral:rRNA from 1 species